rnacentral:rRNA from 1 species
UUUAUGGAGAGUUUGAUCCUGGCUCAGAGUGAACGCUGGCGGCGUGCCUAAUACAUGCAAGUCGAACGGACAAGUAAGAGCUUGCUCUUAUGAGUUAGUGGCGCACGGGUGAGUAAUGUAUAGUUAAUCUGCCCUAUGCUGGAGGACAACACUUAGAAAUGAGUGCUAAUACUCCAUACUCCUUCUUAACACAAGUUAAGUUGGGAAAGUAGCUCUUAAUAAUGCAUAUAAAAUGGAUUUUAAAACAAAAAGCUAAAAAGAUAACAAUAAACUUUUUUGAAGCUUUACAUAAGUAAGGCAAGAAAAAGUGAAGCAGUUAGCUUUUAAAGAUUUUUGUAAAAAUUCUAAAUUAUAAAAUAGUUUUUAAAUUAAAAAUAUUUUCUUUAUUAAAGAAAAUACUAAAAGUAAUUUUAAAACUUUUUAUAUGUAUUAUUAAGAGCUCUCGGCAUAGGAUGAGACUAUAUUGUAUCAGCUAGUUGGUAAGGUAAUGGCUUACCAAGGCUAUGACGCAUAACUGGUCUGAGAGGAUGAUCAGUCACACUGGAACUGAGACACGGUCCAGACUCCUACGGGAGGCAGCAGUAGGGAAUAUUGCUCAAUGGGGGAAACCCUGAAGCAGCAACGCCGCGUGGAGGAUGACACUUUUCGGAGCGUAAACUCCUUUUGUUAGGGAAGAAUAAUGACGGUACCUAACGAAUAAGCACCGGCUAACUCCGUGCCAGCAGCCGCGGUAAUACGGAGGGUGCAAGCGUUACUCGGAAUCACUGGGCGUAAAGGACGCGUAGGCGGAUUAUCAAGUCUUUUGUGAAAUCUAAUGGCUUAACCAUUAAACUGCUUGAGAAACUGAUAAUCUAGAGUGAGGGAGAGGCAGAUGGAACUGGUGGUGUAGGGGUAAAAUCCGUAGAGAUCACCAAGAAUACCCAUUGCGAAGGCGAUCUGCUAGAACUCAACUGACGCUAAUGCGUGAAAGCGUGGGGAGCAAACAGGAUUAGAUACCCUGGUAGUCCACGCCCUAAACGAUGUAUACUCGUUGUUGCUCUGCUAGUCAGGGCAGUAAUUCAGCUAACGCAUUAAGUAUACCGCCUGGGGAGUACGGUCGCAAGAUUAAAACUCAAAGGAAUAGACGGGGACCCGCACAAGCGGUGGAGCAUGUGGUUUAAUUCGAAGAUACGCGAAGAACCUUACCUGGGCUUGAUAUCCUAAGAACCUCUUAGAGAUAAGAGGGUGCUAGCUUGCUAGAACUUAGAGACAGGUGCUGCACGGCUGUCGUCAGCUCGUGUCGUGAGAUGUUCGGUUAAGUCCGGCAACGAGCGCAACCCACGUAUUUAGUUGCUAACAGUUUGGCUGAGCACUCUAAAUAUACUGCCUUCGUAAGGAGGAGGAAGGUGUGGACGACGUCAAGUCAUCAUGGCCCUUAUGCCCAGGGCGACACACGUGCUACAAUGGCAUAUACAAUGAGACGCAAUAUCGCGAGAUGGAGCAAAUCUAUAAAAUAUGUCCCAGUUCGGAUUGUUCUCUGCAACUCGAGAGCAUGAAGCCGGAAUCGCUAGUAAUCGUAGAUCAGCCAUGCUACGGUGAAUACGUUCCCGGGUCUUGUACUCACCGCCCGUCACACCAUGGGAGUUGAUUUCACUCGAAGCGGGGAUGCUAAACUAGCUACCCUCCACAGUGGAAUCAGCGACUGGGGUGAAGUCGUAACAAGGUAACCGUAGGAGAACCUGCGGUUGGAUCACCUCCUUUCUA